rnacentral:misc_RNA from 1 species
GAAAUGCGGUAAGUAGUGUGAAUUGCAGAAUUUAGCGAAUCAUCGAAUCUUUGAACGCACAUUGCGCCCCUUGGUAUUCCAUGGGGCAUGCCUGUUCGAGCGUCAUUUCAACCCUCAAGCACUGCUUGGUGUUGGGCGUUUGUCCCGCCUACGCGCGUGGACUCGCCUCAAAGUCAUUGGCAGCUGUUCCCCUUAGGCUCGUAAGCGCAGCACAGUCGGCGCCCGGAGCUCUGGUGGGAUGGCGUCCAGCAAGCUAUAUUUUCAGGCUUGACCUCGGAUCAGGUAGGGAUACCCGCUGAACUUAAGC